rnacentral:rRNA from 1 species
AGAGUUUGAUCAUGGCUCAGGACGAACGCUGGCGGCGUGCUUAACACAUGCAAGUCGAACGGAAAGGCCCUUCGGGGUACUCGAGUGGCGAACGGGUGAGUAACACGUGGGUGAUCUGCCCUGCACUUUGGGAUAAGCCUGGGAAACUGGGUCUAAUACCGAAUAGGACCACGCGCUUCAUGGUGUGUGGUGGAAAGCCUUUGCGGUGUGGGAUGGGCCCGCGGCCUAUCAGCUUGUUGGUGGGGUAAUGGCCUACCAAGGCGACGACGGGUAGCCGGCCUGAGAGGGUGACCGGCCACACUGGGACUGAGAUACGGCCCAGACUCCUACGGGAGGCAGCAGUGGGGAAUAUUGCACAAUGGGCGCAAGCCUGAUGCAGCGACGCCGCGUGAGGGAUGACGGCCUUCGGGUUGUAAACCUCUUUCAAUAGGGACGAAGCGCAAGUGACGGUACCUAUAGAAGAAGCACCGGCCAACUACGUGCCAGCAGCCGCGGUAAUACGUAGGGUGCGAGCGUUGUCCGGAAUUACUGGGCGUAAAGAGCUCGUAGGUGGUUUGUCGCGUUGUUCGUGAAAACUCACAGCUUAACUGUGGGCGUGCGGGCGAUACGGGCAGACUAGAGUACUGCAGGGGAGACUGGAAUUCCUGGUGUAGCGGUGGAAUGCGCAGAUAUCAGGAGGAACACCGGUGGCGAAGGCGGGUCUCUGGGCAGUAACUGACGCUGAGGAGCGAAAGCGUGGGGAGCGAACAGGAUUAGAUACCCUGGUAGUCC